UUCUCUUAGUUACAAGUCAGUAAUUAAUCGCAAUCAGUUCAAUAUAAAAAACAUUUUCCAUGUUUCAAAAGCGUCAUCGCCCAAUAAAACAGGAGGACAUUUACAACAUUAUAAUAUCUCGCAAAAAAGUCCAAGUAGUAUAAAAACAACUCAAAAUGAAACAGUCAAACUGGAGCCAAUAACCAACGCGUCCACAACUUUUAGACCAACAAGUGUCCUUCAAUUUUUAAACAUAUUUCACAAACUAAAACAGUUGAAACAUUUUCCAACUGUAACUAGUAAUCCUAAUCACUUUGAUUCAACAGAGCCUGUUGUCUUUGAAACACAAAUCCCAUCUUCUCCAAUUCAGGACGUUCUCGACAAAGAAUGUAGGCCUAUCACUGAAAUUCCUUUAACUGCAGAGUUAAGUAAAGGUUUAACGAAAACCAGUAGUAAAUAUAUGCGUUUAAAAAACUUGGUACAUAAAAAUCCAAGAACAUCAACUAGCAGUUUUGAUACAUUAUCUAAAGAUGUUGAAGGUUAUUUCACAUCAAAACAAACUAAUUUUGAUACAAAGUGUGGAUCCGAGACAACCUUUACACCCUCAAUAACAAAAGGAAAACAUGGACUGAAUAGUGACAUUAUUAGAGAAAACAAAAAUAAGACACACCUAAUGAAGCCUCUAAAUCAAGGUGCAGAAAAUGAAGAAGAAAGCAACCAGAUAUUGGUGAAAACAACAAUAAGUAAAGGAAACAAAGAAUUUGAACAGAGUUCAAUCAAUAAAUUGGUUGGAUCAAAAAUCAGUUCACAUAUUAAACCAGAAGAUACGAUAACUCGUAGUCCGUUUAAAGUCAAAUAUCUGAUGAGAUUUAAAAAUUUUAAGUCUAGUACACAGCAUUGUCCUAGUGAUUCAACAUUGUUGUCUUUGGCAUCUAGUGAAAAUUAUGAAAAAGAUACUCCAGUCACCAAGGAAAAUUUCAAUUUUGACAUUACAACAAAGCCCAUGAGUGCCGUUAAUAUUCACUUCGACUCCAAAACUUCCAAUCCAACCUGUAAUAAUACUGCAAAACAUAAAGUAAUGAAAAAUAAUCCCACAACUACAAAAGGCUUUGAAGGCCUCGGUAGCUUAGAAACAAGUGAACAUACAGAUAAUACUCUUGUUGUCAGUACUCAAAUAUAUGAAGACAUUAGGGGUUUGCGGAAAUCCACAGAAUAUGAUCUCAGAAGGUACAAAUACCCAGGAAGGAUUGAAAAUCAUAAUUACAAUAACAGGAAACUAGAUAACUCUGCUUCAGACAGUUUCAAGGAAAUGUUCAAUGUAACAGUGCAUACAAACAGUGGUGACAGGUUUAGGGAUUGGUUUCUAGGUAAAAAUAAAAUACCUGCUAUCAAUAAGACUUAUAACAAAAAAGAUAAUUGUACAUUCAGAUGGUGUUUCCAGCUUUCCUCCACUAACAAUAUAACUGUAACGAAACCUCUUCCAUCAUAUGUAACUACAGAAACACCUGUCCAAAGUAGCGAAGAACAUCUAAUCCAGUCCACUUUUGCACCAAAUAAAAAGAUCAAACAUUUCUUUCAUCUUAAACAUUCCCACAACACUCUGCCUUUAAUAGUUUCAGAAAACAACACAGUGGUGGAUUCAGCUCUUAGUGAUGUAACCAAAGAAUAUAUACAUAAUUCUAAUGCUCCAGAAACAUCAACUAGACGAGGUGGAAAAGACAAUACUCUUAAUGUCAACCUUAUUCCGUAUAAUUAUGAUACUACCACCAAUGAAAAUCAACGAGGAACUCUGUCCAAUAGGACACAGAUUGAAUUUGCUUUUACGACUGAACCAAAUAUGUCAGUCAACAAAACUGGCCGUGGAAAAGUGAAACAAUUUUUUCAUAAAUUUUACACGGAUAAAAUACACGUUAUAAAGUUAAACAAAACCAAUUCUUUGCAACAGGAAAAUAGCACUGCUUUAACAAAGUCAGUGGCAUUUGCAGAUAAUGUGGAAUCAAAAGUAGAAACGAAGAAACAUGAAUUUUAUCCAAACAUAACAGAUGUGCGUAAUGCCGCUGAUAUCAAUGACACAUCUUUCAAUGUCAUGGCAUUUGUGAUGAAACCUUUUGACAGUCUGGUUGGUGUGUUCAAAGCACUUUCUCCAAACAGCAUCACUAAGAUUGGGGAUGUAAAUGCCACUGAUAUUAAAAACGGUAGCUUACCGGAUCACCUGCAGCCUCCAAAUUCUUCAAUCGUCAUACUGGCUGUUAACAACACAAACGCUACUUCGAAGGAUAUUCAUGAAUCAAAUGUGUGCUUGUGUUGCUGACGUAGAGCUGGAUAUGGCUCUGGAUCUGCUGGGAGGCAUGUACCACUGUGUGUUCAGUAGUUUUGUUGAAGCAAAGCCAGAAGACGUUCAUUUCCACUUGUACACUAGGAAAAAUCCAGAGGAGCCAGAAGAACUAUUUCUCCCCCAAGAACAACCCCUGGACAAUGUGACAGACAAUGCUAAUAUUCCAAAACCUGUAUUGGAGGAAGAACUCAAGACAGAGAUUCCCUAUAAUAAAAGGGAAAUUGAAAAUGAAGAGGACUAUUAUGAAGAUUAUGAGUUUGAGCCAUUGAAUCCAGCUAAAUCGUCAAUUCAAUCAAAGUGGUUCAAUGUUUUUGCUGAAACAAAAGUUCUCAUUCACGGCUACCUUCAAGAUUAUCAGACAGAUGUUAUGGUCAGCAUGAAAGAUGCCUAUUUGUCCCGUGGGCCGUACAACGUGGUGGUGGUAGACUGGUCCGUGCUGGUAGGUGAAUCCUCCUGCUACCCCAUUGUCGCCUCACGAGGACUGCAGCAGGUGGGUGGUCUGUUGGCCCAGCUGCUGGACCACCUCGUAUACGCAGGAGUGUCGCCCAGUAACAUCCACAUCGUAGGGUUCAGUUUGGGAGCUCACGUAGCGGGUCAUGCUGGAACUUUUCUCGGCCACGGACUGGUAUCCCGGAUCACUGGUUUGGACCCGGCACUCCCUUACGUACCAAUGGAGAAUGACGUCAGCUUGGACGCAGGCGAUGCUGUGUUCGUAGACAUCAUACACUCGGCUGCGGGACUGCUGGGUCAGUCUGGGCCGAUGGGUCACAUUGAUUUCUACCCGAAUGGCGGGUCACAGCAACCCGGAUGUGAGGUGUCUUCCUUGAGCUGUUCACAUCGUAGAGCAGCUUUGUACUUUAUCGAAUCUAUCACUUCGGAGGUUGGCUUUCCUGCUACCAGAUGCGACUCGUGGCAUCACUACCAGACUGACAAUUGUAGCAUCUCAGCGACUGUUCUCAUGGGUGAUCCAUGUCCUGCCAAUGCUAGUGGAAAGUUCUACCUCGUCACUGGUUACAAAUCACCAUUCGUCCUGCAACCAGAGGAACAUGUCCAGGUGAAGAAGUCUCUCCUACUGGACUUGUUUUACGACUCUGAAGACCUGUAAGACCAAAAUCGUAGGAGAUGUACUUGGAAAUUGUAAAAGACAUAACAAUAAUUUUACAAACUCCUCAACAAUAGCAAUGAAAACAGCAGCCAAGCAACCGUACAGCCUGUACUGUAU